GAUGAAGAACGUAGCGAAAUGCGAUAAGUAAUGUGAAUUGCAGAAUUCAGUGAAUCAUCGAAUCUUUGAACGCACCUUGCGCCUUUUGGUAUUCCGAAAGGCACACCUGUUUGAGCGUCAUGAAUACCUCAAUCUCCAUCUUUUCUUCGGAUUGAUGGGUGACUUGGAGUUGAGCCCUGCUGGUAUGCUAUAUCAGCUGGCUUUAAACUUAUUAGCCGGCUCUGUACUGGAUCGGUUUGACUCGACGUGAUAAUAUUAUCGUUGAGGAUGCAUGUCUCAUGCAGCCGGAAAGUAUCAAAGCAGCUUCUAGCUUGCCUUUAGUGCACUUUUACAUUUUAGACCUCAGAUCAGGUGGGACUACCCGCUGAACUUAAGCAUAUCAAUAAGCGGAGGA
rnacentral:misc_RNA from 1 species